rnacentral:rRNA from 1 species
AGGGUUUGAUUAUGGCUCAGGAUGAACGCUAGCGACAGGCUUAACACAUGCAAGUCGAGGGGCAUCAUGAGGUAGCAAUACCUUGAUGGCGACCGGCGCACGGGUGAGUAACGCGUAUGCAACCUGCCUGAUACCGGGGUAUAGCCCAUGGAAACGUGGAUUAACACCCCAUAGUACUUUUAUCCUGCAUGGGAUGUGAGUUAAAUGUUUAAGGUAUCGGAUGGGCAUGCGUCCUAUUAGUUAGUUGGCGGGGUAACAGCCCACCAAGACGAUGAUAGGUAGGGGUUCUGAGAGGAAGGUCCCCCACAUUGGAACUGAGACACGGUCCAA